UACGGAGGAUGCAAGCGUUAUCCGGAAUGAUUGGGCGUAAAGCGUCCGUAGGUGGUUUAGUAAGUCUGCUGUUAAAGCGCGGGGCUUAACUCCGUAUCGGCAGUGGAAACUACUAGACUAGAGUGUGGUAGGGGUAGAGGGAAUUCCCAGUGUAGCGGUGAAAUGCGUAGAUAUUGGGAAGAACACCGGUGGCGAAGGCGCUCUACUGGGCAAUAACUGACACUGAUGGACGAAAGCUAGGGGAGCGAAAGGG
rnacentral:rRNA from 1 species